AUUGAACGCUGGCGGCAUGCUUUACACAUGCAAGUCGGACGGCCGCACAGAGAACUUUGUUUCCUGGGUGGCGCGUGGCGAGGGUGAGUGACACAUAUCUGAACGUACUGAGUGAUUGGGGUUAACUAAUCGAAAGAUUACCUAUUACCGCAUAUUUUCUGAGGCGGAAAGUUGAAGACUUUCGGGCCUUCUUUCUUUCGCUCGGCCGUGAGUGCAUUCGCUAGUUGGUAGGGUAAAGGCUUACCAAGGCGACGAUCAAUAGCGGGUCUGCGAGCGUGAUGGGCCACACUGGAACUGAGACACGGUCCAGACUCCUACGGGAGGCAGCAGUGGGGAAUCUUGGACAAUGGGCGCAAGCCUGAUCGAGCCACGCCGCGUGAGUGAAGAAGGCCUUCGGAUUGUAAAGGACUGUUGUCAGGGAAGAAAAGAUGUUUACGAAUACCGACAGAUCAUGACGGUACCUGAUCAAUAAGCACCGGCUAACUACGUG
rnacentral:rRNA from 1 species